rnacentral:rRNA from 1 species
CAUGCAAGUCGAACGAUGAUCCCAGCUUGCUGGGGGAUUAGUGGCGAACGGGUGAGUAACACGUGAGUAACCUGCCCUUGACUCUGGGAUAAGCCUGGGAAACUGGGUCUAAUACCGGAUAUGACUCCUCAUCGCAUGGUGGGGGGUGGAAAGCUUUUGUGGUUUUGGAUGGACUCGCGGCCUAUCAGCUUGUUGGUGGGGUAAUGGCCUACCAAGGCGACGACGGGUAGCCGGCCUGAGAGGGUGACCGGCCACACUGGGACUGAGACACGGCCCAGACUCCUACGGGAGGCAGCAGUGGGGAAUAUUGCACAAUGGGCGCAAGCCUGAUGCAGCGACGCCGCGUGAGGGAUGACGGCCUUCGGGUUGUAAACCUCUUUCAGUAGGGAAGAAGCGUAAGUGACGGUACCUGCAGAAGAAGCGCCGGCUAACUACGUGCCAGCAGCCGCGGUAAUACGUAGGGCGCAAGCGUUAUCCGGAAUUAUUGGGCGUAAAGAGCUCGUAGGCGGUUUGUCGCGUCUGCUGUGAAAGACCGGGGCUCAACUCCGGUUCUGCAGUGGGUACGGGCAGACUAGAGUGCAGUAGGGGAGACUGGAAUUCCUGGUGUAGCGGUGAAAUGCGCAGAUAUCAGGAGGAACACCGAUGGCGAAGGCAGGUCUCUGGGCUGUAACUGACGCUGAGGAGCGAAAGCAUGGGGAGCGAACAGGAUUAGAUACCCUGGUAGUCCAUGCCGUAAACGUUGGGCACUAGGUGUGGGGGACAUUCCACGUUUUCCGCGCCGUAGCUAACGCAUUAAGUGCCCCGCCUGGGGAGUACGGCCGCAAGGCUAAAACUC